rnacentral:rRNA from 1 species
UACGGAGGGUGCGAGCGUUGUCCGGAAUGACUGGGCGUAAAGGGCGCGUAGGCGGCUUGCACCGUCAGAUGUGAAAUUCCUGGGCUUAACCUGGGGGCUGCAUUUGAUACGUGUGGGCUUGAGUGCGGAAGAGGGUCGUGGAAUUCCCAGUGUAGAGGUGAAAUUCGUAGAUAUUGGGAAGAACACCGGUGGCGAAGGCGGCGACCUGGUCCGUGACUGACGCUGAGGCGCGAAAGCGUGGGGAGCAAACAGG